AGGUCCAGCUGGGCAUGGCCCCGGGCGUGGGUGGGGAGACGAGAGAAAGGAGCGUGGGACGGAAAAGGCGAACCCGGCGAGGCCCCCAAGUCCACCGCGAAGGGGUCUGGGAGGAGCCGAGGGUCGACCAGAUGUGAAGAUGGGUCACCUUGCGAAAACCCACGCUUUUCCGCCCGUCUUGCCUGGUAAAAAGUGUGAAGUUUCUCGGGCGACCCAGUCCGGUGGUGUUCACGUUACUUGGGCUGUAUUCGUGGAACACCAGGCUGGCGUGGCACCAGAAACCUCAGUGAGGUGGUAAAAGGUCGGGCUCGAGGAGUUGUGGGUUCGCUGUUGGGUACGGAAAGCUUCGAGAUUGCAAGUUUGCGCCGCCGAGUGUCUUCUAAAAGCGUUCAGCCUCCCUUACAAGAACUUGUUCAGAUGGAGAAAAGAACAGAAAUGGAGGCCUGUAGACAGAGCUCACUGGGGAGGGAAGGGGUGUUCAAAUGGUCGGUAUCACCGCCAUCCCCUGCCCCUCCGCUGUUGAGAAACUUAGCUUUGGAAAAGCAGCCCAACUCACUGCCGCCUAUCUUAACUGUAUUUCUCUCGGUACGUUUCAACUCUCGGAAAGACACACUGACACACUGGCUGUCUUUUAAAACUGUUCAGUGUGCAGGAUGAAGAAAAAAUGGACACUAAGUAUUAUAUUUCCCCACGGGAGAGAAUCUGUCCUAAGGUGGAACCACCCUUCAAGCUCUAACACAACUGAAAUAGGGUUUAUACGUCUGUGACCAGGAGAAAAAGAGAAAGCUUGGUCUUGCUGUACAUAAAUUUUCUCUUCAAGGAGAAGUACAUAUUUCAUGAGAAUAAAUAGUUUCAGAAUGAUGCUACA
rnacentral:lncRNA from 1 species